CCUACGGGGGGCAGCAGUGGGGAAUAUUGGACAAUGGGCGAAAGCCUGAUCCAGCAAUGCCGCGUGAGUGAUGAAGGCCCUAGGGUUGUAAAGCUCUUUUACCCGGGAAGAUAAUGACUGUACCGGGAGAAUAAGCCCCGGCUAACUCCGUGCCAGCAGCCGCGGUAAUACGGAGGGGGCUAGCGUUGUUCGGAAUUACUGGGCGUAAAGCGCACGUAGGCGGCUUUGUAAGUCAGAGGUGAAAGCCUGGAGCUCAACUCCAGAACUGCCUUUGAGACUGCAUCGCUUGAAUCCAGGAGAGGUCAGUGGAAUUCCGAGUGUAGAGGUGAAAUUCGUAGAUAUUCGGAAGAACACCAGUGGCGAAGGCGGCUGACUGGACUGGUAUUGACGCUGAGGUGCGAAAGCGUGGGGAGCAAACAGGAUUAGAUACCCGUGUAGUC
rnacentral:rRNA from 1 species